GCCGCGUCCUCUUCUCUCUCCCCCCGACACUCUCUCUUCUUCCCUCUGCAACCACCGGAAAACACCGGUUCCAGCCGCCACCUCCUAACACCGCCACCAGAAAUCGAACCAGCACCCAAUUCUGAUCUAAACCUAUCAAGAAUCACCGACAUGCACCGUCGGUAGCCUCCACCUCGACAACCCACGGCUGCGACACCACUGUUCUUCGAGCCUCGCCAGUUUCCGGCGAUUUCCUUGCCCUUCUGCCGCCAUCCUUCUACUCAGCAAGCAAGGCGGAGCAAAACCCCGAAGCCCCUCUGCCCACCGAUGCCUGACGACGCCGUUCGAACAUCACCGGAGCUCUCGGCUCCCCAUGUCUUUGUUUUCCGGUCUCCAAUCCGAAAAGAGCCAAACCACCACCAUACCUGGGGUCAGCACCUCAAGGUCUAGAAGAAUAGCCCCUAACCUGGACCUCUGAUUUCGACCAGAGCCACCCAGCACCGCCUUGAGAGCCACUAACUUACCUCUUUCG
rnacentral:lncRNA from 1 species